rnacentral:tRNA from 1 species
GUUUUAAUAAUUUAAUAAAAAUAUUGGUCUUGUAAGUCAAAAAUAAGGAACAACCUUUUAAAACU